rnacentral:rRNA from 1 species
GCGUAGGGUAUCUAGGUGGUGAAAAAAGGAAAAAUUAAAACACUAGGUAAUCAUCUUUUAAAGGUUUUUUACUAUUUCAUAGAAUCUCAGAAAGGGGCGGGUACGAUUUGGGUAGCGGUUAAAUGGUAUAUAAAAAUGGGACCGACAGUGGCGAAAGACGCACCUAUUCGAGGAUUGACGUAAAGUACGAAGGCAGGGGAGCAAAGCGGAUUAGACACCCGCGUAGUCCAUGUGUCAACGCUGAGUUUUCAAUGUAGAGAAAAGAAAUAAACGAAAAAGAGAUUCUUCUUUCGGGUUUUCUAUUUGGUGUUUGAGUAACGCAUUAAAUUCUCCGCUGGGAAGUAUGGCCGCAGGUUGAAACUCAAAAGAAUUGAGGUGACUUGUACGAGG